UUGAGCUUAACUGUAUGUGUGGAAAAGGUUCAAGUUUGAGAUUGUAUGGGGGAAAUUGAAAAGCAAUUGUAAAGCAUUGAGCUCAAAUGUUGAGAAAGAAAAAUGCAUGAGAAAAAGAAAAGAAAAGAAGAAAAGCAUGAAAAUGAGCUCAAUGUAAAAGAAAAGGGAAGAAGUUGGGAAUAAGUGAGAUUGGUGAGAAAGGGAGUUGUGCUUAAAGUUUGAACUAAAUGAUUGCUCUCUUAACUCAAGGAUUUUGCGUUCCAGAAAAACCAAUUUUUCUUGUUAGCCCAGCCUCAAUACAAGCCUUGGAAAAGUCCUUGUGAUGGCACUUGCAUGUAAAGAUUUUGAUUGUUUUAUAUGAAUGGCAAUGUUGUUUCAUGUGACUUGUGAAUAAUAGAGAGUUGAAGUGUCACCCCAAAACACUUGAGUGAUUGAGUGAAACACUUGCUUGGUGAGAAUUGCUAAAUUUCAUGCUUACAUCUUUGCUUAGUGGAUUGGUCAUUCAUAAAGUGUAACAUCUGUUGAGAAAUAUGUGAACUGAAUUGAAUUGGA
rnacentral:lncRNA from 1 species